rnacentral:tRNA from 2 species
GGAGGUGUCCGGGCACCUGGUGGGCCCCCCCGCCUUCAAAGCGGGUGGGACGGGCGAUCCCCGUCCGGCGGGUUCGAUUCCCGUCCACCUCCGCCA